UGAGUACGAGAUGCUACGGCAUCGAAGCAGUCUAUGUCAUACUUCCAAGAAAAGCUUGCACUGUCAUAAACAAAGAAUGCCUGUACCAUAACCGACACAGGUGGGUAGGUAGAGUAUACUAAGGGGCGCGAGAUAACUCUCUCUAAGGAACUCGGCAAAAUGACUCCGUAACUUCGGGAGAAGGAGUGCCUUAUUUCUAAGGUUGCAAUAACAAGAUCCAAGCAACUGUUUACCAAAAACACAGGUCUCCGCUAAGUCGUAAGACGAUGUAUGGGGGCUGACGCCUGCCCAGUGCCAGAAGGUUAAAGAAGUUGGUUAGCAUUAGCGAAGCUGAUAACUGAAGCCCUGGUGAACGGCGGCCGUAACAAUAACGGUCCUAAGGUAGCGAAAUUCCUUGUCGGGUAAGUUCCGACCCGCACGAAAGGCGUAAUGAUUUGGAUACUGUCUCGGAGAGGGGCUCGGUGAAAUAGACUUGUCUGUGAAGAUGCGGACUACCUGCACCUGGACAGAAAGACCCUAUGAAGCUUUACUGUAACUUGAGAUUGAAAUUGGACUUUAUUUGCGCAGUAUAGGUGGGAGGCGUUGAGAAUAAUCUUGCGGGAUUGUUGGAGCCAUCAGUGAGAUACCACUCUUGUAAUGUUAGAUUUCUAACUUUGUAUCAUUAUCUGGUCAAAGAACAGUUUCAGGCGGGCAGUUUGACUGGGGCGGUCGCCUCCCAAAGGGUAACGGAGGCGCACAAAGGUUUCCUCUGAACGGGUAGAAAUCGUAUCUAGAGUGUAAAGGCAUAAGGAAGCUUGACUGAGAGACCUACAAGUCGAGCAGGGACGAAAGUCGGUCUUAGUGAUCUGACGGUGCUGAGUGGAAAGGCCGUCACUCAACGGAUAAAAGUUACUCUAGGAUAACAGGCUGAUCUCCCCCAAGAGUUCACAUCGACGGGGAGGUUUGGCACCUCGAUGUCGGCUCAUCGCAUCCUGGGGCGGUAGUCCGUCCCAAGGGUUGGGCUGUUCGCCCAUGAAAGCGGUACGCGAGCUGGGUUCAGAACGUCGUGAGACAGUUCGGUCCAUAUCCGGUGUAGGCGUUAGAAUAUUGAGAGGAGCCUUCUCUAGUACGAGAGGACCGAGAAGGACAUACCUCUGGUGUACCAGUUAUCGUGCCAACGGUAAUCGCUGGGUAGCUAUGUAUGGAGUGGAUAACCGCUGAAAGCAUCUAAGUGGGAAGCCCACCUCAAGAUAAGUGUUCC
rnacentral:rRNA from 1 species